rnacentral:tRNA from 1 species
UCGGGAUAGCUCAGCUGAAGAGCAGAGGACUGAA